UUGUGUGCGAGUGUGUGUGAGGGCGCCCCCUUACAAAAAAAAUUAUCGUUUAAUUUCUUUCGCUUUUGCCACAAGCGGGUGACUUUUGUGCAACUCUGCCACAAAAGGGGAUGUCCUCUUAAGCGGUGGCUACAACAACAACCAAAGGAGCUGCACCAGCCACCAGCCACCACCCACCACGCUUCUUAUCAGCCCACUGAUAACCCGAGGUCGCCGACGCUGCCGCCAUGAACUGAUUGCCACAAAGAGUCAUUUGUGGGGCUUAAGUGAAAGGCAGGAAAGUCAGACGUCAGC
rnacentral:sRNA from 15 species